rnacentral:rRNA from 1 species
AAAUUGAAGAGUUUGAUCAUGGCUCAGAUUGAACGCUGGCGGCAGGCCUAACACAUGCAAGUCGAGCGGUAGCACAGAGAGCUUGCUCUCGGGUGACGAGCGGCGGACGGGUGAGUAAUGUCUGGGAAACUGCCUGAUGGAGGGGGAUAACUACUGGAAACGGUAGCUAAUACCGCAUAACGUCGCAAGACCAAAGAGGGGGACCUUCGGGCCUCUUGCCAUCAGAUGUGCCCAGAUGGGAUUAGCUAGUAGGUGGGGUAAUGGCUCACCUAGGCGACGAUCCCUAGCUGGUCUGAGAGGAUGACCAGCCACACUGGAACUGAGACACGGUCCAGACUCCUACGGGAGGCAGCAGUGGGGAAUAUUGCACAAUGGGCGCAAGCCUGAUGCAGCCAUGCCGCGUGUAUGAAGAAGGCCUUCGGGUUGUAAAGUACUUUCAGCGAGGAGGAAGGCAUUGUGGUUAAUAACC